rnacentral:misc_RNA from 1 species
GUUUUUCUCAACAGCAUCUAAAAUAUUAUUUUUAUUCAGAAAAAUAAUUUCAGACUCUAAAAUUUAUUGCCAAACAUGAUUUAAUAUUUUUGAAAAUGUGUGUGGGUUAUUAAGUUUCACGGCAAUUUCAUUGAUUUUAAUUUUAACCAUGUGCACUGUAGUUUUAAGAUUUGUAUUUGGACACUGAGUUGUUGAGAUGUCUAUAUUUAUGCAUCAAGGAAGGAAGCUUUCCCUGUUAAGUCUCUUACUAAUAAACAAAGGUUAAGAGAGAUUGAAUGGCCCAGAGGCUGCAUCCAUUGACAAAUCUCUCCUUUCUUUAAAGCGUGUUGACCUAUGCCACUAUUGCCUUUGAUUUUUCUUUUUAAUAGAUUAUAAGUUAGUCUCCGAGGCUCUUUUAUGAUUUUUGAUCUUAUGGCUUCUUAUUAAGUUAAAUUAAAUAUUUUUUUAAUUUAUCAGAUUUUUUAUUUAUUAUAAAUUUUAAAUUGAUAAUAUUAUUUUACCAUUUAUGUUAA